CGGGAUGUAGCUCAGCUUGGCAGAGCACUAGCAUGGGGUGCUAGGGGGCGAAGGUUCAAUUCUUGUCAUCCCGA
rnacentral:tRNA from 1 species